UUACGCCUUCAUGAAGCCGGAAUUGCUAGUAAUGGCAGGUCAGCAUACUGCCGUGAAUACGUUCCCGGGCCUUGUACACACCGCCCGUCACACCAUGAGAGUUGGGAAUACCCGAAGCCUGUGAGCUAACUUAUAAGGGGCAGCAGUCGAAGGUAGAAUCAAUGAUUGGGGUGAAGUCGUAACAAGGUACC
rnacentral:rRNA from 1 species